UACAGGAGUCCCAGCGUUGUUCGGAUUCAUUGGGCGUAAAGGGUGUGUAGGUGGCGCCGUAAGUCGGGUGUGGAAAUCUCGGGGCGUUAACUCCGAAACUGCAUUCGAUACUGCGGUGCUUGAGGACUGGGAGAGGAGACUGGAAUUCAUGGUGUAGCAGUGAAAAUUGCGUAGAGAUCAUGAGGAAGACCAGUGGCGAAGGCGGGUCUCUGGACAGUUCCUGACACUGAGACACGAAGGCCAGGGGAGCAAAACGGG
rnacentral:rRNA from 1 species